GUGGGGAAUUUUGGACAAUGGGCGCAAGCCUGAUCCAGCAAUGCCGCGUGUGUGAAGAAGGCCUUCGGGUUGUAAAGCACUUUUGUCCGGAAAGAAAUCUCCUGGGUUAAUACCUCGGGGGGAUGACGGUACCGGAAGAAUAAGCACCGGCUAACUACGUGCCAGCAGCCGCGGUAAUACGUAGGGUGCGAGCGUUAAUCGGAAUUACUGGGCGUAAAGCGUGCGCAGGCGGCUAUGCAAGACAGAUGUGAAAUCCCCGGGCUCAACCUGGGAACUGCAUUUGUGACUGCAUGGCUAGAGUGCGUCAGAGGGAGGUGGAAUUCCGCGUGUAGCAGUGAAAUGCGUAGAGAUGCGGAGGAACACCGAUGGCGAAGGCAGCCUCCUGGGAUAACACUGACGCUCAGGCACGAAAGCGUGGGGAGCAAACAGGAUUAGAUACCCUAGUAGUCC
rnacentral:rRNA from 1 species